rnacentral:rRNA from 1 species
AGUAACGCGUGGAUAACCUGCCUCACACUGGGGGAUAACAGUUAGAAAUGACUGCUAAUACCGCAUAAGCGCACAGUACCGCAUGGUGCAGUGUGAAAAACUCCGGUGGUGUGAGAUGGAUCCGCGUCUGAUUAGCCAGUUGGCGGGUAACGGCCCACCAAAGCGACGAUCAGUAGCCGACCUGAGAGGGUGACCGGCCACAUUGGGACUGAGACACGGCCCAA